rnacentral:rRNA from 1 species
UACGGGGGGGGCAAGCGUUGUUCGGAAUUACUGGGCGUAAAGGGCUCGUAGGCGGCCAACUAAGUCAGACGUGAAAUCCCUCGGCUUAACCGGGGAACUGCGUCUGAUACUGGAUGGCUUGAAUCCGGGAGAGGGAUGCGGAAUUCCAGGUGUAGCGGUGAAAUGCGUAGAUAUCUGGAGGAACACCGGUGGCGAAGGCGGCGAUCCUGGACCGG